ensembl:lncRNA
GGGGACUUGGGUUCUGGAUGUUCUGUGAGAGAUUUAAAACAAAAUGUUUCCACUAGCUUUCUCUCCUCCCCCAAAAUCAGGCUGAGCCUUGGAAGGAUGAGUCUAUGUUAGCAGCAGUAAGAACCACAUUCACUAUCACAGCCAGCAAUUUAUUUUUCUCAUAUUAAAUGAGCCUUUUGUUCCAGAGAAGGUAGAUCUCACUUACAUGCCUGUACAAAAGUGAAAUGCAAGCUCAAGCUGAAAGCAUCUAUACUGCAAAGUUCUUUGGAUUGUGUACAGUGCAUUUACAGAGUGAGAAGGCUGGCCUAGUGACAUACAGAAUUAAGCCUGACAAUGGCAGAGCAGUAGUUCUCUGAGCUGCAUUUGAAGAGUGACUGGGCAGAUUUUCGUAUGGCAAAUUUUUACACCAUACCUGUUCAUUUGUAUGCCUCCCAUCUUUUAAAGGAACAUAACAACUUCUUUGCAAAUGCAGUGACUCUUUAAGAAUUUCUCUACAGAAGAGUACUCUCAUUUUUCAGUCAAUUAAUUUCAGAUUAUUUAUUACAUACAGAAAAAUAAUUAUCCCCAAAGAUAAUUAAAUGUUUCAAGACUAAGGAGCAAAGCAAAUGUAGGUUGAAAGUCAUUAUGUACCGAUACAAAAGACUUUUUGUCAGUAAUUUAAUCAUGCAGACAUCCAAAAUAAAUUCUACAGAUCCUAUCCUCAUUGUCUACAGAGACUUCUAUCUGCAUAAAUAACCUCGUUGGACUAUCGUACUCUUGGCAUUUUGGUAAGGAACAGUUUUGAGUAGAUCUAUAUUAAGGCCAUAUUUUGAUCCAAGACACACUCAUGGAAUUGUCUCACUCCCCCCUCUCUGAUGUGGAGCACUACCUGGAGAAAACGAACAGCGCUGACUUUGAAUAAUCCAGCCUGGAGUGGGGCCAGGGCUUGGGCUCCUCCUUGCCAGCUGCAGGGCCCCAGUGCAGCAAGAGCUUCCAAAGGCUAUGUUGCCUCCACAAGUGCCAGAAUGGAUCAACACACUGGCUUCAGCCAGAAGUGGACUCAAAGUAGCUGUUGUUCCUUCUCCCUAAGGAACAUUUUCAGAGGAAUGCCUUAGAGGUAAGAACUAAGGUUCCCAAAAAGGCUAACCUCACGUCAGGAAGGACUGAAGCAUACUCAUUUGCUAAAUGCUCCAUAAAGGGUGACAUUCUUCAGUUACUUUUUGGAUAAAUCCCACUCUGCUUCUGAGAGAAUAUUUAUAGAGAACAUCUCCUGAGCAUCCUGCAAGUGACUGACACAGAUACACAUGGAUUUUGUUUAUUCUCGUCUGCCUUGGUUUAAAAUUUUAUACAUGUCCCCUAGGCACGACUUUGAUGCUGAUUUUUCUAGGGAAAAAAAAUGAAUACGUAAACAAAGAAGUCAUACAUAAAUAAAAUAGUAAAGCAUAAAUCAAAGUCAGCUCCAUUUUUUUUUCUUAAAUGCCAAAUACUUUAAGAAGCAAGAUUCUGUUUCAAUGGCUGCCUUGCCUUAGUUCUUGUCUACUUCAAUUAUGGGGGCUUUUCUUUCUGCAUCAUGACCUUCUGAGGAAUUUAGUUACAUUCUAAAAUUUUAUAACUGCAAAGACAGAAAGCUAAGACCUGUGAAACAGUUUCAUAGCAUCAGCGUUUCGUCUUUUCCCUAUGUGAAAUUUAAAAUGAGAGAGAGGCCAGUUGUCUAUCUAAUGAGAUGGUCUUGUGUCCUUUGUCACCUACUAGCAUGACAAAUCCCGUUACCCAGCUUUUCCUGAGACAUUCUCAGCUAGAUCCCAGGUGGGAAGUCUCUUGCAGACUUUUGUAAUGGCCAUGUAUGUAUUUUGCCUCCCUUACUCAACUCUUUGCACUAGAUGGGUGGUAUUGGCUUCAUAGAGUUCUUGUCAAAGAGCAGCCAAAAGUACUUCCACUGUGGAAGUCCAAUCCCUGAAAUGCUGUUGAGAGCAUUGACCCCCAUAUGGAUCUCCUCAGCAAGUGCUGUAUAUGCCAGCAAGGUCUAUCUUAAUACUCAGUUUCUCCAGGAAUCCAAAAUGUGUUACUUCUGUACAGGAUUCGCGUGUUUGGUCAGUUGUUGCCCUAUCCUUUCCCCUCAAUUUGUAGCAACCAUAAAUUGUCUUUGGCUGGCUCCUGAAGUGGCAUUGCUUGCUUGUUGGCUUUCAGAUGCCAGAUUUCUGUGAAAUAAUUGGGCUCAGUAAAGAUGAGAUAUAAAAAGAUAAAAAUCAGCCCCAAUGGUCCAUUCUGUCACUUUCUUUUUUAAUUCAGACUCUGCCUAUGAAGCCCAAGCAACCCAAGCUAGGCUCAACUGUGUUGAAACCAUGUUUGUCCCAGGUGUGUCAAAUUGGUUCAGAAAGUAAGCCAUAAUCUGGGAUUACAUGUAGCUAGGAUAUUAUUUUCUGCUUUUAAAGAAUUUCUUCUUUUUUUUCUGCCUGUAUUGAUUAUUUCCUGUGUUUGGUUUCAGCUGUUCGGUAGCUAGCAUGAGACCUCAGACUGAGGAAACAUCACAAUGCACAGACUCAGCUGAAUAGCUCCCUGCCCACACAUCUUUCUAUGUAGUACUUCAAAAUAUGCAUUUCCUGCACAUGCUAUAAUUAGGCUUUUUCAUUCUCCCUCCAGUUGUUAUUAAAAUACUCAUUAUCUACUACAAAACACUUUUAUUAUGCUAUUUUUUAUAUCCCUCUUGUUACUUCAGGAAGCAAAUAAAGACAUUUUAGUGGAUGUAGUUCUAACAGGGGAAAUUCCAGCACUGCUUCACCAUGGCAAUGGGGUGCAAUCAUCAAUGAAGCAACAACUUCACUGUGGAUCACUGCAACUGCUAAAAGAUCUGAAGCUGGCUUGCAGCCACAGAUGACAGUCUGCACCUCUUUGAGCUGUGUAGGCAAAUGCUGAACUUGAGUCCAGUUCAGAAGAUCUUGAAAGGAUUAAUACCGGCCCUUGGACCUCAAGCAGGAGACAAGAGGUGAAGAAGUGAAGAGGCAGAAGAUUCUUUGACUGUCAAUAGUUUGUGAAUUGAGUAAAAAUUCCACAAAAUGUGGCUUGUCCAGAGCAGGAUAUUUGCUACUAUCUCUGAAUGAUGUCUUACUCUCAGAGAAGACACUGGAUUCUCAGUCCAAAGUUCAGCCCUUUCAAAAAGGAUAAUAAAGCAAAAGAUAAUAAAAAGAAAGAAAAACCUUUCAGAUGUAAUCUUUGACUCCUAACAGAGGGAGCUGGGAAAGGGCUUUGGGUUGAUUUCUAAUUCCAUACACUGCUUGUCUGAGUUGACACUUCCAGCUUCACACCUGAAGAAACAAAAGGAAAGAUGCAACGCCACUGUUUGCAGCUGACCUCUAGCCAACUGCUGGAGUUGCAUUCAGUACCCAAGCAGCAUGUUCCAGCCACAGCUGCAAAUGUUCUAGAAGGUUUGGAAAUUGUUUCUGAAAUGUUAAUUCAUUCAAAGUGCUUCUGAAGGGAAAAGACCUGUCAGAGAUGCUAGACCUCUCAGAAGAAUUUCCAAGGCAACAUGUUCAUGCUCAUGGAUAUCUCUGAUUAAAAUAUGUCCCUUCUUUGGUGUUAAUCUGAUCUAGAAGGUGCAAAUUAGGCUGUGAGAAGACUGAAAGGAAUAUGUUCUGGAUUUAUUUGUACAGAAGUAUAUAAAUUUUGAGUAUGAACUCAAGGCACUAAAAAGACCUUACCAUAAUCAGGAAACGGACAACAUCUCUGGAGAAUCUGCUGACAACUGGUGGAAAACCACUCUUCUCAUAGUACAAAGUGGCAAUUAGUAUAGCUAGUCUAGGUACCUCAACAUCAUGCAUCCUCUCCAGCAACAUCAUACUAGCAAGUCCCUGCUCCAAACACAUCUGAUAGCAAUGGGCUGGAUUUGUCAGAUCAUUUCCAUUAAAAGAAAUGUGAUGGUGCAGCUAUUUCAGUGAUGGAUACUGGCAAGACUUGUACCUUCACUACGGGGCUUCUUUCUGCUUGCUGGGGCUCUGCAGCACAGAUAAGCACCAGGAAAGGAGUAAGGUCUGAUCACCAAAAAAAGUAACACUUUCUGCUAGAUAUUAACCGCAGAGCAAUGAAAUGUUCCCCAUCUGUUAUCCAGUUGUAACAGACCACCACAGCAUGCAGCAGCUUUAAAAAAAAAAGAAAGAAAAAGAAAAAAAAAAGGUGAGAGCUAAUUACAGUCACUGACAGCACGUUGUGAAGGAGAGGAGAUUCCCCUGGCACCUGGUGGCAAGGUGAUGCUGGUUGCAAGCCCUAAGCAUUCCUGAAGAUCUACUCAGAAAGAAAACAGCCAUCAGAGUGCUGCCCUUGGCCUCACUGGAAGCACAGAAAUGACCCGGGGUUGAAAAGGCCAGAAGUGUCUCUGGAGGCUCUUGGAGGCAGUGCGGGGAGUGUCGGCAGCACAGCGCUCUGUGCCCCAGUGCUCCAUGGAAGCCAACAGAUGAAAGAUCUGAAGGAGAAAGAAGACAAUCUCUCAAUUUUAGAAGGAAACAUAAGAAGCUGCAGAAGUACCAAAGGAGGACUUCUCCGCAGAGCAUGUUGCUGUUACUUAACAAGUCUCCCAUGCCACACUGAUGCUGGGGGCAUCAUGGUUCCUGCACGUUGUCACCAAGAUGGAGCUAGGGGACCCACUGUGACACUUCCUGAUAAGACAAUAAUGAGAGAUUUAGGCAGUCUGUUCACAGAGGCUGCUGUCUGGCUCCUGAGGCACAGAAAGCAUUGAAAGGGAGCAGUCGGUAUAGCACACCUUUUCCUCAUUUAUCUGAAUACUGAGCCAGAAGUUGUACUGCCCUGGAGAAAAGGCAAUUCAAAUUGCUUUCUUUAUGAUAUCUGAAGCCAUCUGUGGCUUAGGCUGUUCCGAAUACAGCCUUUGGACAUCCUGCAUCUGUCCGUACAAAGCAAAUCCAACCACGCCUGGGAGCUGGGGUAUGACUGCCCGUACUGCUGAGCUGCUAAUACUCCUCCCCAGCGUGCUUUUGGCUGUCUUGCUCUGUCACAUGAUUCCCAACAAUGUUGUGCCAACAAAACCUUCCAGCACUUGCUCCUGGGAGGAGGUGUGUAUGUGGUGGCCCCUGUUUGGUGGCUGAGGAGUCUCAUAGCGUUAACACGCCCACUCCUUGCCAGCUGGCCUACAUGCAUGACAGCACUCCUGGGCACGUUUAACUGCUGCUACAGAUGCCAUUUCAAACAUUUAAUGUUUUCAUUCCACGUGUAGGUGAAGAUCCAGGAUUGCUUCAGGAGUUCCAAACACAGCAUCAAAUGGGAGAAACCUUUGCUUCUAAGUUUUUUGCCUUUAAUAAACUCUCACUUUAUUCAUUUGAAGUGUUGUUCCUCUCAGGAAGAGUUGCCUUCACUAAUUGCCAGACAUCUGAGAGUAACUUGGAAUAGCAUGUUUAAAGUAACAUAUGUGACUCCUCAUUUUUUCUGCUUUCCACCACUUAAGCUAUACUCAUUUGUAAAGAUGCAUUUCUAGAAUUAAUUCAUUCAUAAUUCAAAGUGAAAAUCUUUUUUCAUAUUCUUUCCAGCUGUAGACUUCCACCUCUGAAAUACAGCCCAUUCAUAUUUAAAAUAAGAAGUCUCCCUUCUCUACGUGUUGCCUUUGUGGAUGCAGUUUCUCAAAUCAAUUGCUAUUAUUUUUGUAUAUUUUUUCAAUUGACAUAAGAUCACACCUGCCUUAUUGAUCGAUACGAUACUUUACGCAGCAAAUUUACUUUGAAAUAGCUAACAAGCAAGGAAAUACGGAUAUACAAGAGAUACUAAACGAAUGUUCUCUUUCUUUGUUACCUAUUCCUAUUUAUCUACUUCUUGGUUACUCUCUAUUUCACAUUUUUACACAAAAAAUAAAAUAAAAUAAAAUAAAAUAAAAUAAAAUAAAAUAAAAUAAAAUAAAACAAAACAAACUAUGGGAUUUGCUGUGGCUGUUUGUUUUGUUUGUUGGUAGUUUUUCUGAUAUUAUUAUUGUAAAUAGAGUCCAUUUUGAGUUACAUGUAUGUGAAGGAAAGAAUUUACCUACAUUUCAGCAACAUAAUUUAUUGUCCUGUUUUUUAU